rnacentral:lncRNA from 1 species
CUCCAGCCUCACCGCAGUUCUCCCUCCAGCAGAGAGCUGACUCUCUCCCAUCAUCCCUAACUGAAGAUGGAAUGAGAAGGGACAGAAGCCAUUUCAGGAAAAAGAGAACUUCACUGAUGGAGAAAAGACUUCCCUUUUACUGCAUUUCUGCUGCUUCUCCUUUUUGCAAAGUUCACAUUUAGAUAUGGUGGUAAACCGUGGAGAGAUCACAGGAACACCAAGAACAGUUGAACCCCUGCAGAGGAAUUCAUGCUUCUGGCUGGGUCGUGGAAGGAGCAGGAGCAGGCACGGAAUCGGCUGCUCAAACCUUCAGCAACUACUAGAACCUGGGAACAUAGCCAGCCAGAGCCAUGCAGCUGUAGGAGGGGGUUUAGCUCAGCUCUUCUGCUGCAGGACUAUGACCAACCAACCCCGCCCCAGGGCUUCAUGCACCCCAGAAGUCAAAGGCAGGAAGGAGAGACACCACAACAUUUUCCCAUCAUGGACUAUGCACCUCUGAUAUGUGUGCUGCCCCUGGCCAAGAGGUAGCAGGACUCAAAGGGGGCCCACAGCUUUGGGCCCCUGCUGCUGGUCAGAGCUCCAGGAAUAACACUUCUGUGCCCCUGUAUAGUUCAGUUUGAUGGUAAAUACUGCAUAACGCUGCAUAACCCAUGUAAGUAAACUAGCAAAUGUGAUUUUUACUCUUCCAUUUUUUUUAAAAAAAGAGGUCAAUCUGGUAAA